UAGCGUCGUCUCCACCGAACCAGUUGUCAGUGGCAACAUAUAGGAAUCGUGUACAUUUCUUCGUUUCUUCUUUGCUGUUUUCAGUGAGUGUUUUGUUUUCUCUUUGUCCUUGAUCUCGACGGCGUUGUCGUGCUCAUUACCUUACUGAGACGUCUCUUGUGACUGUAGCCAGUGUCACGAAGGAUUUUAUUGGCGUGACGAGGUAGAUCGCCGAGAUCGAGCGUGAAAAACGCUCUGCAUUAGUAGCUCCUGUAGAAUGUCUUCUGGGAUGGCGUAUCCAUGGUCAACAAAGCCAAGGUGCAAGACAGCAUGAGAGAUCGUGUAAACGAUGUGAACUCCAAAAGAUAAUCUGGACAAAAUUAUAUUGUAACUGGAGAGUGCAAUCAUGCUUGGGACCCAUCCCAAUGUCAUCACAUGGCUGUGGUGACUAGUGUAUACCUGGGAGAGUUUUUCCUCAACUGAGACGGAGUGUAGGUGGAUGGAUUAUGAGAAAUGCGAAGAUGUGGAGUUCAAGGCUAGAUGCACUUCACAUUCGGCGUGGGAUCUCGGCGUCUGGGACCUGAUAACAUCUUGGUUGGAUGGGUAAUCAAGGAUGAUACUACUCGGCACACCAAUGUACAUGUCAAUGUAGUUUUUACUUUUUCAGAGCUGCACUAUUUACGUCCUGAUGCUUACUUCGGUGCUAGUGUUGUGUCCGUGUGUUGCUACAAUGUCAUUAUCUGUAUUGUAUUCCGUCUGCUUAUACAUGUGUCUUUAUGAAGUGUUUGCCGUGGCGGCGAUGUGUCUUGUCGAUCAAUAGUGUUGUGAAACCUAUCACUAUUCAUGCUUUGCUGGCUACUCGCUCGCUCCGCGCCGCGCACGCUACUAGGUCUUGUAGUAUAUAGCUCGAUGCUUUGCAUCGAUCGCUGGUUGUUCUUGUUGCUUCUCUGUUGUUUGAGCUUGGUCCUAGAGUGAAGCUUUGA